rnacentral:rRNA from 1 species
CACGUAGGGGGCGAGCGUUGUUCGGAAUCAUUGGGCGUAAAGGGCGUGCAGGCGGCCCUGCAAGUCCGGCGUGAAAUGUCCCGGCUCAACCGGGGAGACGCGCUGGAGACUGUGGGGCUUGAGUACAGGAGGGGAUUCCGGAAUUCCAGGUGUAGGGGUGAAAUCUGUAGAUAUCUGGAGGAACACCAGUGGCGAAGGCGGCCGACUGGACCUGUACUGACGCUGAGGCGCGAAGGCGUGGGGAGCGAACGGGAUUAGAUACCCCCGUAGUCCCUGAG